GGGAUAUCGUGUCUUCUGUGCCGCAGUAACGCAAUAAGCACUCCGCCUGGGGAGUACGGUCGCAAGACUAAAACUCAAAGGAAUUGACGGGGGCCCGCACAAGCAGCGGAGCAUGUGGUUUAAUUCGAAGCAACGCGAAGAACCUUACCAGGUCUUGACAUCUCCUGAAUAGUGUAGAGAUACAUGAAGCCCUUCGGGGCAGGAAGACAGGUGGUGCAUGGUUGUCGUCAGCUCGUGUCGUGGGAUGUUGGGUUAAGUCCCGCAACGAGCGCAACCCUUGUCAUUAGUUGCUAACAGUAAGAUGAGCACUCUAAUGAGACUGCCGGGGACAACUCGGAGGAAGGUGGGGAUGACGUCAAAUCACCAUGCCCCUUAUGACCUGGGCUACACACGUGCUACAAUGGCUAGAACAAUGAGAAGCAAAGCAGGGAUGCGGAGCGAAUCUAUAAAACUAGUCCCAGUUCGGAUUGAUGGCUGCAACCCGCCAUCAUGAAGCCGGAGUUGCUAGUAAUCGCGAAUCAGCAUGUCGCGGUGAAUACGUUCCCGGGCCUUGUACACACCGCCCGUCACACCAUGAGAGUCUGCAACACCCGAAGCCUGUGAGUUAACUAGUAAUAGAGACAGCAGUCGAAGGUGGGGCCGAUGAUUGGGGUGAAGUCGUAACAAGGUAGCCG
rnacentral:rRNA from 1 species